CCAGAGGAUAGAUCAUUGUAACGAACGCCAUUACGGACAUCGACAGGGCAUUGUAGUCGCGGGAUUGCAACACGAUCUGAAAGAACCAUUAUUCUAAUUGCUAUUCUAAGAUAUCCGGUUGCCCACACAAUAUUCACCCUUGAACGGUGAAUCGCAAGAAAGAUCAACUUUCAACCUUUAUUCAAUGAAGAAAAGUAUGAUCUGCAGAGACUAAUUGAUCAUUAAGUUAAUUCCACGGACCCGAUUGCUUUUCUAUGAGUUAUGUAAGUGUUACCUUGUGCUCCAAGAGAAUCAACGUGAGGACCUUCAAGCAUA